UCCCCUAGAAUCUCUCAGUGUUUGUAGCGACGGUUGAAAGUAGCGAUGAAGAGAAAUACCUAUAUUGCGAUUGCAGCAGAUCUUGCUGCGGCGUGAGUUAUACUCUUUGGUGAAGGUUCCCAGCGGAGAGGAAGCUGUCUCGAACGACACCUCUCUAACACUAAAUCUAAACCUUCGCAUAUGGAUUUCGGCCAUCUUAAACGACGCUUCUCGAAAUUUUAAUUUUUGAUGCGUUUUGAACCCUUUGGCUAUAUUUUUAUUCUAUCCCUAAUUUUUCAUUUUCAGAUGAGCUUUACGCCAUUCACAACGCCGGAUGGGGAGGAUGGGCUGGAUCCCACCGGCCCGACUCUUGCGGCGUUAGAGUGUCCACAAUGGGGGAGCCGCGGCCUGUGGCUCGGUGCACGGCCGCCCAUUGCAGAGAGCCGAGGGUGGGCCGCAGCCUUCACGUGGCUGAGCCGUGUGAGCCGCGGCCCUCCAUUGCAUCGAGCUGCGUUUCGCGGCUGGGCAGCCGAUUAUAAAUUUUUUUUUAAUUUCGAAAUUCUUUUAUAAAUAUACACUCUCAUUUUCAUUUUUUCACUUCUUUCUACACUUCUAAUCCCUUCAUUUUACAUUUCUAAACACUACAAAAAAUGCAAGGUGGAGAUGAUAAUUCCUCGGGGUAUGGAGAUUUGGGAUACGGCAACUUCCCAAUCAGACUUGGAGUCCGCAAUCGCCCCAAUUCUGGGUCCAGCCAUCCCAGCAGAGGAACUUGGUUCGCCAACCAUCGGGGUUUGGUGACUACUGACCGAAUAUGGACGCGAUCAACAACCCGUCCCAAGGGCCACGUAAGAGCCACGAAUGGUGGUCGGGCCAUAUUUAGUGGCCGUCAAGGGCCACCAUUGUGGACACUCUUAGGACGCUCCCUUUUGCUGCCCGUCCUGGAUAAUCCUCCCAUUGCGAACUUGCGUAGUGGAUUCGAAUUAAAAUUUCAAAAAUCUAUAAAUACAUGCUCCAUUUUUCUUUUCAAUUCAUUCCUCGUUCAAUUUCUACCUCAUUCAAUUGCUGAACUUCACAACUUCAUGUUGAUCGUACUCAAGAAGAAGCUCGCUGAGAAGCUUAAGUUGAACGAUGAAUAGUCACUUUUUUCAAACGUUAUUUUCUUAUGAUAAAUUUUAACGAAUCAAUUAUGCGUUAUGUUAUUUUCUACACUCUUACAAAUUUGCGAACCCAAUAAAUUUUCGCUGAGAAGCUUAAGUUGAACGAUGAAUAGUCACUUUUUUCAAACGUUAUUUUCUUAUGAUAAAUUUUAACGAAUCAAUUAUGCGUUAUGUUAUUUUCUACACUCUUACAAAUUUGCGAACCCAAUAAAUUUUAAGCCUAUAGGUCUGUUAUUUUUUAA